rnacentral:rRNA from 1 species
UGCGUAGGCGGUUUGUUAAGUCAAAUCUGAAAGCCCCCGGCUUAACCGGGGAGGGUGAUUUGAAACUGGCAGACUUGAGUACGGCAGAGGUUAGUGGAAUUCAAUGUGUAGCGGUGGAAUGCGUAGAUAUAUUGAGGAACACCAGUGGCGAAGGCGGCUAACUGGACCGGAACUGACGCUGAUGCACGAAAGCGUGGGGAGCAAACAGGAUUAGAUACCCUGGUAGUCC